rnacentral:rRNA from 1 species
GACGAACGCUGGCGGCGUGCCUAAUACAUGCAAGUCGAACGCUGAAGCGAGGAGCUUGUUCUUUGUGGGUGAGUCGCGAACGGGUGUGUAACGCGUGUGUACUCUGCCUUGUAGUGGGGGAUCACUAUUGGACACGAUAGCUAAUACCGCAUAAGCACCUACUACACAUUUCAUUUAUUUGAAAGUCGCAAUUGCUCGACUACAACACGGCUUUGCGUUGUAUUAGUUAGUAGGUGAGGUACUAGCUCACCUAGGCGACGUAACAGAGCCGACCUGAGCGGGUGGUCAGCCACACUGAGACGGAGACACGGCCCAGACGGCUACGGGAAGCAGCAGGAGGGAAUCGUCGGCAAGGAGGGCGACACUGACCGAGAAAGGCCGAGGGAGGGAAGAAGGAUUUCGGGUCGGAAAGCUCUGUUGUAAGUCAAGAACGGGUGUGAGAGUGGAAAGAACACAGUGUGACGGUAGCUGAUCAGAAAGGAACGGCUAACUACGUG